UACGGGGGGAGCAAGCGUUGUUCGGAUUUACUGGGCGUAAAGGGCGCGUAGGCGGUCGUGACAAGUCACUUGUGAAAUCUCCGGGCUUAACUCGGAACGGUCAAGUGAUACUGUCGGACUAGAGUACAGAAGGGGCAACUGGAAUUCUCGGUGUAGCGGUGAAAUGCGUAGAUAUCGAGAGGAACACCUGCGGCGAAGGCGGGUUGCUGGGCUGAUACUGACGUGAGGCGCGAAAAGCCCAGGGGGAGCGAACGGGG
rnacentral:rRNA from 1 species